rnacentral:snoRNA from 1 species
GUCCCCUUCAAGGUCAUGGUAAAGACUGAAGAGGCUAACACAGCCAGGUAAAGGAGUUCUCCAAAAAACCCAGAAAGGAGACUGUACACCUCCUCUUUGGAUCCUGUCUGGAGUCAUAGAU